AUGAAGGCGGGCUGGAAUCUCUCGGGGUUACAGCCUUGCUGAAUUAUUCACCCUUGUCUUUUGCGUACUUCUUGUUUCCUUGGUGGGUUCGCCCACCACUAGGACAAACAUAAACCUUUUGUAAUUGCAAUCAGCGUCAGUAACAAAUUAAUAAUUACAACUUUCAACAACGGAUCUCUUGGUUCUGGCAUCGAUGAAGAACGCAGCGAAAUGCGAUAAGUAGUGUGAAUUGCAGAAUUCAGUGAAUCAUCGAAUCUUUGAACGCACAUUGCGCCCUUUGGUAUUCCAAAGGGCAUGCCUGUUCGAGCGUCAUUUGUACCCUCAAGCUUUGCUUGGUGUUGGGCGUCUUGUCUCUAGCUUUGCUGGAGACUCGCCUUAAAGUAAUUGGCAGCCGGCCUACUGGUUUCGGAGCGCAGCACAAGUCGCACUCUCUAUCAGCAAAGGUCUAGCAUCCAUUAAGCCUUUUUUCACCCUUUGACCUCGGAUCAGGUAGGGAUACCCGCUGAACUUAAGCAUAUCAAUAAGCGGAGGAA
rnacentral:rRNA from 1 species